rnacentral:misc_RNA from 1 species
AACGCACAUUGCGCCCCUUGGUAUUCCGGGGGGCAUGCCUGUUCGAGCGUCAUUUCAACCCUCAAGCUUUGCUUGGUCUUGGGCCGCGCCGGCAACGGCGGGCCUCAAAAACAGUGGCGGCGCCAUCGUGUUCCUCAGCGUAGUAAUUCUUCUCGCUGUUGGGACCCGGUGGCCGCUGGCCAGCAACACCUAAUUUUCUAUGGUUGACCUCGGAUCAGGUAGGGAUACCCGCUGAACUUAA